GACGAACGUUGGCGGCGCGCCUAACACAUGCAAGUCGAGCGUGAUUGCAGCUGUAGCAAUACAGUUGCAUGAAAGCGGCGGACGGGUGAGUAACACGUAGGUAAUCUACCUAUCAGACUAGGAUAACCUGCCGAAAGGUGGGCUAAUACUGGAUAUUUUUACGGUCUCGCAUGAGACUGUAAAGAAAGAUUUAUUGCUGAUAGAUGAACCUGCGGCCUAUCAGCUAGUUGGCGGGGUAAUGGCCCACCAAGGCUAUGACGGGUAGCUGGUCUUAGAGGACGAUCAGCCACACUGGAACUGAGACACGGUCCAGACUCCUACGGGAGGCAGCAGUGAGGAAUUUUCCGCAAUGGGCGAAAGCCUGACGGAGCGACGCCGUGUGGGUGAUGAAGGCUUUCGGGUCUUAAAGCCCUGUCAGCAGGGAAGAUAUUGACGGUACCUGCAGAGGAAGCCCCGGCUAACUACGUGCCAGCAGCCGCGGU
rnacentral:rRNA from 1 species